AUGGGGAGGAUGGGGAGAAAGGAGAGGUUGCUUGGAAAGGAGUCUUCAUCGCUGUGUCCUAAUGAACCAUUAGGGAGAAUGAGGUCAACCAAAUCGAUCUGACCCCCCUCCAGAGGUAUGCUGACACUGUGGAUGCAUCACAGAGAUCCUCCUAACUUACUGUUUACCAGCGAGGGCAAGGGAAGACCUGAAGCUGAAUGGUAGAUAGUAUGCUAUCGAAAUAUAUGUUCAGUGAACAUAUCUUUAUAAAAGUGCAGACUUUUAAAAAAAAAUGACAAACAGCCCACCAGUUACAUAACUAACCACCGUCCAAAACGACCCCCGACUCAUCCCAGUUAACCUCUCACAAUCCUUAUAAUCUCCUUUCAUGCAGUCCGAGCUUUAAGGCAAGAUGGAAGAUGGUAGAAAGAACAACGUCGCAGCUUCACUGAUUCAAAUGGGCGAUCUAAUGAGGCCACUUGCUCUGAGUAUUUUGCCAAACCAGAAGUCAAAUAGGUUAUAUGUGUAACCUGUACAGUGUGUAACCUGUACAGUGUGUGGAGUGAAAAGGAAAUGUGUUUUUUGCGUAUCCUACUCCCCCCUGAUACCCUCUCGGAGAGUGGGGUCACAGCCAGGGCCUGCCAUUAUUGACUGGGACCCUGGAGCAAUUAAGUUGAAAGUUUUUAAUGUCCCAUACACAAGUACAGUGAAAUGUCUUUCUUGCAAGCUCUAAACCCAACAAUGUAGUAAUCAAUAUUACACCUACUGGCCCAACGCUCUAACUACUAGUCUACCUGGCAUCACAACGAGACCAAGUGUGUAUAACUCGAUUAUUAUAAAUCCCUUUCGGGUGAGAUCCUAAUCUCACGCUUCAGUUUCUCAACCUUGACAGAAUACAGACAAGAGGUUCCCUGUAGUGUUCAACACAACGUCACGUCAAUAAUCCAGUCCUCUCUGUACAUAAGUUAUCCUCAUUAAGGUUAUUUUUGUAAGGUAUCAAUCUGCUGUGUAUCAACUAGAGUAUUCAGGGCUCGAACCACCCAGUGUAUAAUCAACUAGAGUAUUCAGGGCUCGAACCACCCAGUGUAUAAUCAACUAGAGCAUUCAGGACUCGAACCACCCAGUGUAUAAUCAACUAGAGCAUUCAGGGCUCGAACCACCCAGUGUAUAAUCAACUAGAGCAUUCAGGGCUCGAACCACCCAAUGUAUAAUCAACUAGAGCAUUCAGGGCUCGAACCACCCAGUGUAUAAUCAACUAGAGCAUUCAGGGCUCGAACCACCCAGUGUAUAAUCAACUAGAGCAUUCAGGGCUCGAACCACCCAGUGUAUAAUCAACUAGAGCAUUCAGGGCUCCAACCACCCAAUGUAUAAUCAACUAGAGCAUUCAGGGCUCGAACCACCCAGUGUAUAAUCAACUAGAGCAUUCAGGGCUCGAACCACCCAGUGUAUAAUCAACUAGAGUAUUCAGGACUCGAACCACCCAGUGUAUAAUCAACUAGAGCAUUCAGGACUCGAACCACCCAGUGUAUAAUCAACUAGAGCAUUCAGGGCUCGAACCACCCAGUGUAUAAUCAACUAGAGCAUUCAGGGCUCGAACCACCCAGUGUAUAAUCAACUAGACCAUUCAGGACUCGAACCACCCAGUGUAUAUUCAACUAGAGCAUUCAGGGCUCGAACCACCCAGUGUAUAUUCAACUAGAGCAUUCAGGGCUCGAACCACCCAGUGUAUAAUCAACUAGAGCAUUCAGGGCUCGAACCACCCAAUGUAUAAUCAACUAGAGUAUUCAGGGCUCGAACCACCCAGUGUAUAAUCAACUAGAGCAUUCAGGGCUCGAACCACCCAGUGUAUAAUCAACUAGAGCAUUCAGGACUCGAACCACCCAGUGUAUAAUCAACUAUGCCCAGCCACUUGUGUUGUUGUUUUCUUUUGGGCAGCUGUGGAGGUGAAUGAAAUGAUACUGGGUCAGAUACACAAAGGUUUUGUCAAAGCAUUAAAUGUGAGAACAUGAAGAAUGAACACAGACAAACAGGCUAAGGAUACAAGCAUUCCAUUAAACAACUAAAUUCA